rnacentral:miRNA from 1 species
UCAUUCGAAAUUUUGCUCAAAUCC